rnacentral:tRNA from 1 species
GCAGGGGUGGCUAAGCCCGGUAAGGCGGUCGGCUGCAGACCGACAAUUCGGGGGUUCAAAUCCCUCCCCCUGCU